CACGGGGGGAGCAAGCGUUGUUCGGAAUUACUGGGCGUAAAGCGUGCGCAGGCGGCUUCUCAAGUCAGGGGUGAAAGCCCAGAGCUCAACUCUGGAAUUGCCUUUGAGACUGAGUGGCUUGAGUACGAGAGAGGUGAGUGGAAUUCCCAGUGUAGGGGUGAAAUUCGUAGAUAUUGGGAAGAACACCGGUGGCGAAGGCGGCUCACUGGCUCGUAACUGACGCUCAUGCACGACAGCGUGGGGAUCAAACAGG
rnacentral:rRNA from 1 species